rnacentral:rRNA from 1 species
UUUUUACAAUGGAGAGUUUGAUCCUGGCUCAGGAUGAACGCUAGCUAUAGGCUUAACACAUGCAAGUCGAGGGGAAACGGCAUUAUGUGCUUGCACAUUCUGGACGUCGACCGG